AAAGAAGCCCUUCUUAUAAUGUCAAAAUGGAGUUUCUUAUCAUCAAAUUCAAAGUUUGGCUUCCAGGAGUUAAAAAAUCAACAUCUUCCCCACUUUGUUGGUUUAUUUCUUCAAAACAUAUCAAGUUGAGCAUGUUCUGCCAAAGCAUCAGACUAAAUCCUAGCUAUGACAUAGUUGUUGACAAAGAAAAAUUGGAGAAGGGGAGGUAUACUUGUAAGCAUAGUUAUGGAAACUAUACACUGCAUGAAUACUACAAAA
rnacentral:misc_RNA from 1 species